rnacentral:rRNA from 1 species
UACGUAGGCAGCAAGCGUUGUUCGGAGUUACUGGGCGUAAAGGGUGCGUAGGCGGUUGUUUAAGUUUGGUGUGAAAUCUCCCGGCUCAACUGGGAGGUGCGCCGAAUACUGAAUGACUAGAGUGCGGGAGAGGAUAGUGGAAUUCCUGGUGUAGCGGUGAAAUGCGUAGAUAUCAGGAGGAACACCGGUGGUGUAGACGGCUAUCUGGACCGUAACUGACGCUGAGGCACGGAAAGCGUGGGUAGCAAACAGG